rnacentral:lncRNA from 1 species
CCUAAAAAAGGAAGAAGGGAUAAGGGGAAGGGAAUUAGGACCAUCUAAUGAGAUCAGGUGUAAGAGUGGGUUUUGCCCUUCUUUAAACCAAGCAAUUCCAAGCACUGUAGUGUUUCUAAUCCUUGAAGGUGUCUGAAUUUACAAGCUAGGAAUUUGGGCAGGGAGAAUAGAGUCUAAGAAUAUCUGUUUGGUUCUUUUAAAAGAAACCAAAGAAUUUUAAAAAUCAAAAUCAACCCAAGCUCAUUCUAGGAGUAUUACUAAAAUACUAUGGUAAAAGCGCCUCCCUCAAGAAUGGCAAGCAACAAGAGAAAAGCAGACCUUCUUAUGCAAGAGUUCUUUACCAAGGAAGCAAAGAAAUAGAUGAUUCAAUUAAAAUCAUCCAGGAAGCUUUUUUAAAAAUCCAGACAUCUCUAUCACUCCAAAGCCCACAAAAUCAGGAUCUCAAGGGAGGGCAUAUAGGCAUGUAUGUUUUUAAGAGCUCCCAAAUGGUUCUGGUAAUCACCCUAAUUGACUAUCUAGAACCUUGAUAUAUGUAAGUUUUAUACCUAGGGGUAAUUCAGAAUUGCAGCCAAAGAGAGAGGAAAGAUUGGGGAAAGCAAGCUGAAGAAAUAGAAUAUGCAAAGUGCCACAAUGUCAAUAGGUGUAAUAAAAUUUAAUCAGAUUGCUUUUCUAACACCUACCACCUAGGGAAAGGGCACUUUGACUGAUACAGUGGUUGGGGUGUUGUUUUGAUGCAAUAUGAACAGGCUGAGUGGGAUGUCAAAGCAUGAGGUUUAAGAUAACUCAAAAGAACUGGGCACUUGAUUCACAUGGGUAAAAUGUUUUAGGAGGUAAAGGGAAGAGAAAACAAAAACAGAAAUGGGCCUUUUCAAAAUCUAAUCAGGUUAAUCUUGCCUCCAAUCUCCACAUGCCAAAGCAUGUGUAUGAGGAAACUGCGUACAGGGAGGGGGUGCUCUACCCUAUAUACCAUGUAACCUCAACCAUGUUGAAACUCUACAAGAUACACAAGAUGCUUUGUGACUUGUGUUGUCUAAAUCGCUGAUAAAACACAAACACAUUUAAAUUGUUCUGGUCACAGUUCUAAGAGAUUUCAGAACUGCUGAUCAAGAUUUGUACAGUCAUUCACCUAUAGGUGCUUGCUUGCGAGCUUCCCCUCAGGGAAAAGAGUACACUGUAUGUUAAAGGCUCACUGAGGCACAUAAGCAAUCAUCACAUGUGCUCUCCUUUUGAAUCUUAUUUGUCGGCCUCUCAUGAAAUAAGCACUUUUGUGAGUAAGAACCAUCCCAUCUUCAAAGGAGUGGCAGUAUCUAUUUUGUCUCUUUCUGUUGUCUCCCAACUAUGGUCCUCUGCCUGGGAGCUCCUCCAGUCACUUCCAUCUGUUUUAUCACUUUUUCAUUUGUCAUUGACCUCAGAAUGUGAAAUCUCUGAAGAGCAGAUAUGGGGUGCUGGGAAAGCCAGUGGCUGAAGAAAGGCCAUCCACAUUUCCCAAAGGCAGUGGUGGGUUAUUUUUAUCAGUUGAGCACCAUAAGGACUUUAGAAGCCCAUGGAAUACCCACUGCCCAGCUUGCCCUCUGUUUAAUGUCUCCAGCAUCAGGAGUCAUCUGCCCACUGUUCCCUCACACAAAGGCUGGAAGGAAACAUACCACGUACUACAUACAGGUUUUAUUUUAAAUCAAAUAAACACAGGGCGCAGACUAUUUAUAAAACAGAGACACAAUUUGCCUUGGCAGGAACUGUGACUUACUAUAGUACUGAACAACUCUUGGUGCUCUGUAGAUGCUACAUCAUAAAUUUAAAUAGGUUGCCCCUAUUACAAAGGUGGUUAGAAAAAAAAAUGGACAGAAAACUAAGUCAGUCUUCAUUCCAAGAUUGACCACUUGGGUUCUGUUUCAUUUCUUGAUUUCUCAGAUGGGGUAUGACUUCAGGAACAAAGCUGUUUUCUUUUACAAUUAGCAAAGCGGCAAUCCCUGUCUAACAUUUUCACAAGUGGAUGUUGUGAAUAGAGUACUGUAGUGAAACCUUGCCUUGUAAUAUUGAGCAAAUCACCUUAGUAGGCCUCAGUUCCUCAACAAGAAAAACAAGAGCACAAGACAAGGUCUCUAAAUGUCCACUCAGCCCUAAAGCUAUCUGGCUUCUCAAUUCUAAAACUUUCAAAUAAGAAAAAAUGAAAAUAAAAAAUAGCCAAACUGAGCAAUCCAGUCACCCAGCAUGAUGAGUAACCAUGAGGUGGACAACUGCAUGGGUGGAUGGACAUCACCCAUGGUAGAGUAUAUUAUUAUUCCCAAUUAUUCAACCUCCUCUCUGGAAGAGGAUUAUACAUCUCCAUCUACUGACAUGUGACAUCUUGCGGAAAUAGUAUUUGCCAGUUUCACAGACAAUGGCUUUGUCUAUGUGACUUAUUUUGACCAAUGGGUCACAGAAGAAGUAAUGCAUGCACCAUCAGAAGUUAAUAACUUUUGAAUGCUUCUGAGCCCUCUUGCUCUUUUCCCUGUGUCAUGAAGAUAGGGGGAGCUACUGAAGGCAUCACAGAUCUCAAAAUGAAGACAAUGCAGGGAGCAGAAUCAACCAAGGAAGAGCUGCAAAUGACAUAUCUAAAUGAGUAAGCAACACAAGCCACCAGAACAUUGGGGUUGCUUCAUUUAUCUCAGUCCUACUUAGAUAAAGCUGACUGAUUCACCACUCACCACUGGGCAUAUAUCUUAAAUACUCAAAGAAUAAUAAGAUAGAUUGGCUAUUGUAUACUCUCAGAAUGGAAGCUCCUGGCCACAGCAGCCUUAUAAUUCAUAUAGCACCAAGGACACCAGAAAUAUAAAACAAUUCAUAUAUGUAAAACCAGCUGCCUCCCACGGCAAUUUGGGGAUGGCAUGACACUGCCAUCAUAGCUAUGCCCUCACUUCAAUAUACCUAACUAGAGUCCAAUGUGAUGAAGAGGGACCCUGGUCUUAACCAUCUAGAGGCCCCAGGCCACUGCCUAUUGCUAAAUUCCUUUAGAUCUACAGGAAACCUUGAUCUAUUCCUGGAGCCAAGUCAUGUAACCUUUGAAAUUUCAUGAUAGUUCUCCAUUCAGAGAGGUCUGUACUUAGAUUUUUUUGUGGUUGUUCAUCUAAUGAGAACAUAGUAUUUAAAAAUUUCUCAAAAAACAAAUGGAUUCUCUAGCUCAGUACAGGAAACACUGAAUUCAAUGAUCUGUAAGGUCCCUUCCAAUUCUGAAAUAGGUCCAUCUUAAAGCAUUAUCUAAUGCAGACAUAAUUUUCCUUGCCAUUUCACAAGGUGGAUAUCAUCUCUAUUAGUGGCACACAUCAACUUGAUGUAGCAAAUUAGGGCAGAAAAACAGGUGAAUUUUCCAAAUGAACUGACAGGAUAAUUUAGGUAAAGUGAACAUGGUAAUAAGGCAAACCUGUCCCCAUUUAUCAGACUUCGUUCAGAAAGUGUGUGUUACUUUAAGAGGGGGAAAAAAAUCAGAACCAAUUAGAUUUACAAUCUGUGAACAUAGUCAAAACAGAGAGCUCAAAUCUUUUUCUUCAUUCCUAUAUAGCCUGGGGGCAAUAGCCAAAAGAAAUUACUAUUAAGUGUGAGUAAUGCAAAAUAGAUUGUGUGCGAAUUUCAAUCUGAAAUGUGUGAAUUUAAUAUACAACUGCAAAUUAAGAAGUGCCUUUUGAUUUACAAAGUAGGCUUGGUUCCUAUGUGGAAAAAAAUUCUAUCCUACAGACUACUCCAAGAUGGACUAACAGACUGCAUGUGAUCCUGGAAGAACAAGGGGGAAUAUUGUAGCACUGGGACAAUACUGUGGCUGCAGUGCUGUACCAUCAUCCACGGCACACACAAAUCAGACCACUGAGAGGAACACUGUCAUUGUGUCUCCACAGCCAGCUGUGGCCAGAGCAGCCACCAUCCCAGUACAGAACAUAGGCAAAGCAGUUUAUCAAUACAAUAACCUGGAAUCACAAUAAGGUGCCUUGAAGCUACACAGAAAUAAAAGAAAAUGAUAUUUGUGUUUAUUUAGACCAUGUCCAUAGACUAGACACUCAAUUGUGUUCUAGGCUUUCUGCUUCAGAGCUGAUUUCAAAUCCAAGCCUUGCCAUCAUCCUGCGGAAAACAUGUUUCUUCAUAUCCAUGUUCCUUAGAACGGUUUUGCUUACAAGGUCACAGUGAAGAAAGAAGACCCCCUUGUAUGAUUAUAGAUUCUCACUGCCCACUGGGAUGUAAGAAGCUACAAUAUACAAAGUACAGGAAGCAAUGACUACACUGCUCCCUACCUUCAUAGAGCUCACCAUGUAGUGAAGAACUAGCGGGAUUAAAGAACUUGCUCUAAUAAAACACAACCAUCACUUUAAUACAAAAUACCAGAAAGGUGAUGAUGACUAGCUCUACCUGGAUUAGGAGUCCUUCCCUCAUCACCUGCCAAACUCCUCUUCCUGUUUCCGAACAUGGCUGACAUCACAUCAUGUCCUCUGUGAAGCCUUCUUUGUCCUUUUCCUCCUCUAAAUCACUUCUUAGUCACAUACUCACUGUUACCAAUGCAUAGUAUUCUGUGAUGGUUUGUUUUUGGGCUUUCUCUAGCAGGACAAGUUCCUUAAAGAAGGGUUUUUAUCUAGAAUCUGCUGGGCAUUCAGUAAGUAGAAUGACUUAAUAAAGGUCUAAAUAGACCUACAUAAUAAUCUUUGCAUAAGAUUCAAAUUAGAAAUAGAUGAAAAAAUAGGUCUUGGCUAGGUCCUCCAGACCCCUUCCUGCAUAAUCCCUCCUGCAUUAACACAGAAAACUUCCUUACAUGAAAAACCUUGGAAGGCUCCACUCUAUGGAACCUGAGACCCUCUGACAUCAUCUAACACUUUUUCUUCCUUGUGAAAAGUGGGGCUAACACCCUACAACUCCAGUUUGAUUCUUAAGCAAGGUACACAAGGAUCUGUGUGAUCUUCUACAUGUGUAUACAUCUGCAAUUAGAAAAACAGUGUGUAGCUUGUAAAUUCCUGAUAUAAAGAGCCUCUUUGUUGAGAACUCAUGCUUGCUUUUCUGUUUCUAUCAUAAGUAAGGAGAAAUGUGAUCAUGUGCUGAGGCAAGAGAGUUCUAAUUGGGUGCUACCACUAAACUCCAGUUUUUGGAUGAGGAAAGGUAUUAAAAGAAGUGAGAACAGAACCCCCUCUUCCUCUUGCCCCUACCACCUUUGCUAGAAAAUGGCCAAACAGUUCCCACAAAUGCCUGGCAAAAUGUUUCUAUGUACACAUGUCUACAACCACUAGGUAGGCCACGCCAGUUCUGGGGUUCAGAACCUUUUGGACAAUUAAGAGAAUCUCAUCUUUGGCAAAAGGGUAAAGCAGUGUGCACACUGCCUAGAUAGAGCUCAGACUGUAUGCCUCAGAGAAUAAAAGGGUAGUGCAACACUUUGGUCUAUUUCUGGUAUCCUCAGAUUUCUACUAUACUGCAAUAAAAGUGGUGGAGUAAAGUCUAGCUCAGAAAAGAGAGUGGCCUUAAUUUUGGCAGAUCCCAAACAGCCAUUUACCCCAAGUCAAAAAUGGCUCAAGGCAAAUCAAUCUGACCUUAUUAUUCACUAUGCCUGGCAAGGGUUAGGAAUAUUAUUCAUCAUUGCAUCCACUUAUUUCAAAGGGACUAGACUGACAAAAAGCUAGACUAGGUAUGCAGGGCUGCUUUACUUGCAGAGAAAAAAGAAGAAACACAAAAUAAAAACAGCUAACCAGUGGUGUGCUAGUAAACUGGCUCUCGAAUGGAGUGUGCAGAGGAAGCCUCGACUUGUAGUAGUGUUUACUGAUUUCCAUGGUAUAAAUACACCCACUGAGGUCAAUUCCAAGCUAUUGAUGAUUAGAAGACUUGCAGAAUUCCUUAAUAUUCAGCAACUGGCUCUGGGAAAGCCUGUCAUGUGCCAGCUUAGCACACAUUUACUGAGAGUUUAUUGCAGUGUCAGAAGCUGAUAAGCACUUUAAAUGUAGUAUCUCAUUUCAUCUCCCCAGCAGUCCUAUCUUAUUCUUAUCUCCAUUUUCAGGUGGGAUAACGGAGGCACAGAGAGAAUAAGUAAACUGCCCAUGGUCACAAAAUUUGGAAGUGGCAGGGCUGGGGCUAGAAUCCAGGUUUCUGACGCCAUAGCUGACGUUCUCACAAUACCAUAAGGCCUCUCACGAUCCAAUCAACUGGCCCCUUGUGUAAAUGGCUAACAGAUCUCUAGCCAGACAGCAAAAGUGAGGUUUUGACCAGAGUAUACACAGUGCAAAUACGACCAAACAUCUGUGGUACAUGGCAGGCUUUAUAUAGUCACAGAAUACAGCAGGAUUCCUUCCCUUUGAAAACUCCAUAUCCUCCUUCCUCGAGUCUCCCUUCUAGUCUGACUCUCAUACCUUAACACUUUCCAGUUAGUAACUAAGAAUCUCUGCUCUACUCUUUAUUUCUCCCUUCGACAGUUCCAUUCACAUUUAACUGAAGAGUCCUCCUACUCCUUCCUCCUUCACAAGCGAGGAGAGGCCAGCCAGGAGCAGCACCACCUUCAUCAGCCGACAGCCGAUAGAGAAGGACCACAACUGGCACUUCUGUAGGGGAAGUUCUGAACAUAAGCCACAGAAGCUGCUGUGGACGUUGGCACAGGGACCCCUGACAAAUGAAAAGGAAGAAAUGGACAGUGACAUUCAUAUCUCAUCUCCAAGUCAGGAAUUACUUUAAGACUGAGAAAAGGAAAACUCACAACAGAAUUACACCUGUCCCAAGGCAUUCAAGGACGAUCAUGUCCAGAUGGAGCAGAAUUGAGAAAACCAUUGGUGGGACCCCCUGAGAACUGGAAUUCCUGGGCACAUGCGGAUCAGGGAGGCAGGCAAAAGGAAGACCUAGUUCCUAACCUUGAGUAGAUGUUUCCACCGCUCCAUGGUUUUCUUGCCAAAAACAGUGAGUCUCUGACUAAAAAUUCUAAUAUCUGCAACUUACACUUGAAAUAAAUUUCCAAUUUCUUUAAAAAUCUUCCACAUGAAGCAGUUCACAGGUGUUAGCCAAAGGUAAAUGAAAACUUCUGCAUAAUUAGUCAGCAAGAUUUUUUUUUAAAAGGAUUUUAUUUAUUUAUUUGAGAGAGAGGGAGAGAGAGAGAGCACAAGCAAGGUCAGGGGCAGAGGGAGAGGCAGACUGAGCAGGGAGUCGGACAGGGGACUCCAUUCUAGGACCCGAGAUUAUGACCUGAAGGCAGACAACUGACUGAGCUACCCAAGUGCCCCAGUGAGCAUGAUUCUUUACAUCAUUUUUUAAUGGAGCUCAUGACUUACAAUUGCAGCCACUGACUUAUUUCUUUCACUUGGAUCUAUGUACUUUUAUGAAGUAACUUUUCAACUACAACUGUAAUUAAACAAAGCACUGACAUACACUGAAUCACUGUACCCCAUGAGGCCAUAGUUCAAAAAAAAGAAGAAAGUAUAUUUAAUCUCAUGGCUCUCGGUACAAAUAUUCUUCAUAAUUUUGAGUGCAUUUUGUACCAAUAAAAUUAUUUGCCCGUGUUUUCAUGUUUACAGUCUAAAUUUUCUAAUUUUAUGAAUAUGGUUAUAAAUUACAUACAAAUACUACUGCAAAUUACAAAUAUUCUGCAAACUAACAACAUAGAGUGGAAAGUUCACAAAUAUCUUAUUGAUGGAGAGGCAUCAUCACAGAAGUCUGCAGAACACUGUUCCAGACUACCAGUGACAGUGACCAGGAUAAUCAAGCCCUAGAAGUUGAAUGAGGAGGUCCAGUUAUGACGGACUUACAGGCCCAGGGCUUUUGGGAGACAGCAGAGCAGGCACUUACUUGUUUUCUAUAAAUACUGCUUUUUAAAAUUUUACCUUAAAAAUCUUAUAAGCAUAUUUCCUUUGUAAAGGAAAAUAAUUUAAUUUCCACAAUUUACCUUGUGGAAAAACACAAGGUAAAAAGGAAAGUAUCCCCUCAUGCAAGAGGUUUUUCAUUUUGAUUUGAAUUUAAAAAAAUAGGUGUUAAUUCUUAAAAGACAUUCAUUAAUCAUAAAAAUUUUCCUAAAAUAUUGAGUUCAUUUACAUACAAACUAGGAAAAAUAUGUAACAAAUUGGUAUGCUUUGAAAAGUACAGAAAAUAUGUUUUCCUUGCUUUCAUCCCACAUUAAAGAAUUUGGAGAAAAAAAAAUGAGUCUCCACCAAGAACUGGAACUAAAGAAGUUAUUUUUUUUGAUUAGCAAAUAUGUAUUGCACACAAUUCUCUAAUGAGAACCCAAGAAAUUGGUGCCUUUCUUUUCAUGUAUUUCUAGCUCCAUUCCUUUGUUGCUAUGUUUCAGCAAAUCUCUCCCAGAGUCACUCUGGUGUAUGACAUACUGUCCAAUUAGCUGGCAACAUAUUUCCCUUUUACCUUCACUGAAAUGACCUUACUCUUUCUAGGAGGAUUUCAUACAAUCACCCCAUUGAAUUAAAACUGCAUGAAAAGCUGUACUCACAGACCAACUCCUAGGCAACACAAACCUGUUGAACUAAAUCUGAGGUGAGAAAUAUUCCUGAAGAGAAAAAAAAAAAGAAAUAUUCCUGAAGAGAGAACAAUUAUAGUCAUUUCCCAAUUAAUUAUUAAUUUAAUCCAGAAUACAAUGUCUUGCUAGAAUGUGUAACUACAGGUAAAAAAAAAAAAUCUGUAAGAAUUUAAGCAGUUUAUGAAUGUAUACAUAUAUAUUUGAAUGUAUAUACAUAUUCAUCACAUGUGAUGGAUCCCCAAAACAGUUAAUUUCAUUUGAUAUGUCUGAUCAACCCACAUUUGUCACCUAUGAACUUAGGGAGGCAGUACAGAAAACGUCAAUGCACUGUGUUUUCAAGAGAGCACACUGUUAUUUAUUACAAGCUUUUUGCAGAGACCCGUUUUGAAGAGAAACAAAUGAAGCCAGGGCUUUCAGUAAAGGCAGAAUAACUUAUUACACUAAAUUCAGAACUAUCUUAGAAUUUAAAAUAUGGGCUCUGCAUUGUUAACCCAACUAAAAUAUUUCAUCCACAUUUACCUUUAGAGGAAAAAAGUUUUUGACUGGAGAAAAGGCUUUUUUUAAAAAAGGCUGAUGGAAUUCAUGACAAGGGUUUCUAAAGCUGCUUGGAAACCAAAUUGUUCUUAAAAAAAUAUCUCUGAUGAGUUAAGUGCAAAUGAAUCAAACAUAUGGAUUAAAUUUCCC